GGGGAUAUAGCUUAGUGGUUUCGGCGCCUGACUGGGAAGCACAAGGUCCUGAGUUCAAUCCCCAGUACCUCCC
rnacentral:tRNA from 1 species